rnacentral:rRNA from 1 species
GACGCAAGUCUGAUGGAGCAACGCCGCGUGAGUGAAGAAGGGUUUCGGCUCGUAAAGCUCUGUUGGUAGUGAAGAAAGAUAGAGGUAGUAACUGGCCUUUAUUUGACGGUAAUUACUUAGAAAGUCACGGCUAACUACGUGCCAGCAGCCGCGGUAAUACGUAGGUGGCAAGCGUUGUCCGGAUUUAUUGGGCGUAAAGCGAGUGCAGGCGGUUCAAUAAGUCUGAUGUGAAAGCCUUCGGCUCAACCGGAGAAUUGCAUCAGAAACUGUUGAACUUGAGUGCAGAAGAGGAGAGUGGAACUCCAUGUGUAGCGGUGGAAUGCGUAGAUAUAUGGAAGAACACCAGUGGCGAAGGCGGCUCUCUGGUCUGCAACUGACGCUGAGGCUCGAAAGCAUGGGUAGCGAACAGGAUUAGAUACCCUGGUAGUCCAUGCCGUAAACGAUGAGUGCUAAGUGUUGGGAGGUUUCCGCCUCUCAGUGCUGCAGCUAACGCAUUAAGCACUCCGCCUGGGGAGUACGACCGCAAGGUUGAAACUCAAAGGAAUUGACGGGGGCCCGCACAAGCGGUGGAGCAUGUGGUUUAAUUCGAAGCAAC